rnacentral:rRNA from 1 species
UACGUAGGGUGCGAGCGUUAAUCGGAAUUACUGGGCGUAAAGCGUGCGCAGGCGGUCUGUUAAGACCGAUGUGAAAUCCCCGGGCUUAACCUGGGACCUGCAUUUGUGACUGCAUUGCUGGAGUGCGGCAGAGGGGGAUGGAAUUCCGCGUGUAGCAGUGAAAUGCGUAGAUAUGCGGAGGAACACCGAUGGCGAAGGCAAUCCCCUGGGCCUGCACUGACGCUCAGGCACGAAAGCGUGGGGAGCAAACAGG